UACGAAGGGGGCUAGCGUUGUUCGGAUUUACUGGGCGUAAAGCGCGCGUAGGCGGACAUUUAAGUCAGGGGUGAAAUCCCAGGGCUCAACCCUGGAACUGCCUUUGAUACUGGAUGUCUGGAGUUCGGGAGAGGUGAGUGGAAUUCCGAGUGUAGAGGUGAAAUUCGUAGAUAUUCGGAGGAACACCAGAAGCGAAGGCGGCUCACUGGCCCGAUACUGACGCUGAGGCGCGAAAGCCAGGGGAGCGAACGGG
rnacentral:rRNA from 1 species